AUGCAGUUCGAGCGAGCUCUUCGGACUUGCUGGUGGAGAGGUGAGUAAACGUGGAAUCGUGCCUUUGAGUCCGGAAGAACUCGGGGAAUAAUGUGCUAAUACCGACGGUGCCAUUCGGGGGAAACAAUUAUCGCCUUCAGGGCGGCCUGCGUCCGAGUACCUUCUUAGUGAGGUAAGGGCUAACCACGGCGACGAGAGGUAACGGGUCUGAGAGGAUGAUAACCCACAUUGGGACGGAAACACGACCCAUCCUCCUGCAGGAGGCACCCGGGGGGAAUCCCGCGCAAUGGGCGAAAGGCUGAAUCAUGCAUGCCGCGUGAAUGACGGAUGUCUUAGGAUUGUAAAAUUCUUUCAGGUCGGACGAUUGUGACGGUCCCUACGUAGGAAGCCCCGGCUAACUUCGUGCCAGCAGCCGCGGUGAUACGAACGGGGCUAGCGUUGCUCGGAAUUACUGGGCGUAAAGGGAGCGUAAGCGGACAUUUGAGUCAGGGGUGAAAUCCCGGGGCUCAACCUCGGAAUU
rnacentral:rRNA from 1 species